GAUGAACGCUGACAGAAUGCUUAACACAUGCAAGUCAACUGUGGCGGACGGGUGAGUAACGCGUAAAGAACUUGCCUCACAGUUAGGGACAACAUUAGGAAACGAAUGCUAAUACCUGAUACUGUGAGAGAGAUUUGCGUCCAAUUAGCUAGUUGGAGAGGUAACGGCUCACCAAUGCGAUGAUGGGUAGCCGGCCUGAGAGGGUGAUCGGCCACAAGGGGACGGAGACACGGCCCUUACACCUGCGGGAGGCAGCAGGGGGUAAUAAUGAAAAAUGGACCAAAGACUGAUCCAGCAACUCUGUGUGCACGAUGAAGUUUUCGGAAAGUAAAGUGGUUUCAGUAUGGAAGCGGUACCAUCAGAAGAAGCGACGGCUAAAUACGUGCCAGCCGCCGCGGUAAUAC
rnacentral:rRNA from 1 species